rnacentral:lncRNA from 1 species
AUCUGUUUCCCAUCUGUGGGGGAGGAAGGCCUCGUUCUCCGAGAUCCUGUUUUGGACCAGGUUUUCGAAGCUCUAGCUUUGUUGAUCUCUGAGAACUAAGGACUAACGCCCCCACCUUCUCCUCCCAAUGCUCCAGGUUCCCUUUUUGAGCUCUCCAUGGAAGAGUGUGGGAACCUACGGAGGAAGUAGCCAGUAUCUUUUCUCUUUGAAAUUCCUUUUCACCUUGGCACAUGCAUCCAUCCUGGCCCAGGCCCACCCUUCAGAAGUCAUUAUUCCUUAACCCACUCUAAACGGGCACAGGUGACAAAGCCAUCAAACUAUACAAUCAAAGCCGAAGUACACUUCGGGAUUUUCCCAUUGGCUUCCUGGCCUGGGUAGAAAGAGGAAUAGGGAGAGGGGAUGAGGGGAGGGGAGGCCGCGAUGCACUCAGGAAAGUCUUGGUGGCCACUUUGAGGACACUGGCCUAGCACCAGUCUGGAGGUGAGAGCGGGACCGAGCGGGUACUAAGGUGGCAAUGGCGGCGUUGAGCCCAGAUGUCAGGUUCCGAGAAUAAACGUGUGCCAGUGAACACUGUCCCCCGUACCCUCGACCCAGCUCGGUACAGCAUCGUCUCCGGAAAGGCACAAAUCGGGCCUUGUGCUUAAAUGGAGUAUCUGCUUCUAUACAGUGACCCUGACGCACAUCAAAGAUCCUGCUUUGACUCCUUAGACUUAAGAUCAGAACAUGUCUGCUCAAAAAUUUCAGACCUACUCCCAAGAACUCACAUCCCCUCUUCUAUGUUUUCAAAACAGAAAAAAAGGAAAGACUUAUCUGGGAAGGAAACUUGAACUGAACAUUUAACAUCUAUUAAUUUUGGCGUUGGUGACUCUAUUCUUGUGUAAAUAAAUCUAUUAAUCACAAUAAUAAAGGAGGUGUUCACGUGG